rnacentral:rRNA from 1 species
GACGAAGGGGGCUAGCGUUGUUCGGAAUUACUGGGCGUAAAGCGCACGUAGGCGGAUAUUUAAGUCGGGGGGUGAAAUCCCGGGGGCUCAACCCCGGAACUGCCUUCGAUACUGGGUAUCUUGAGUUCGGAAGAGGUGAGUGGAAUUGCGAGUGUAGAGGUGAAAUUCGUAGAUAUUCGCAGGAACACCAGUGGCGAAGGCGGCUCACUGGUCCGAUACUGACGCUGAGGUGCGAAAGCGUGGGGAGCAAACAGG